rnacentral:rRNA from 1 species
UGCAGUCGAGCGGUACAGAUCCAGCUUGCUGGAUUGCUGACGAGCGUGCGGACGGGUGAGUAAUGCAUAUGAAUCUGCCCGAUAGUGGGGGAUAACCUGGGGAAACCCAGGCUAAUACCGCAUACGUCCUACGGGAGAAAGGGGGCUCCGGCUCCCGCUAUGGGAUGAGCCUAUGUCGGAUUAGCUAGUUGGUGAGGUAACGGCUCACCCAGGCCACCAUCCGUACCUGGUCUGAGAGGAUGAUCAGCCACAUCCGGACUGAUACACCGCCCGAACUCCUACGGCAGGCACCAGUGGGGAAUAUUGGACAAUGGGGGAAACCCUGAUCCACCCGUGCCGCGUGUGUGAAGAACGCCCUCGGUUUGUAAAGCACUUUCAGCGAGGAAUAACGCCUAGCGGUUAAUACCCGCUAGGACAGACAUCACUCGCAGAAGAAGCACCGGCUAACUCCGUGCCAGCAGCCGCGGUAAUACGGAGGGUGCAAGCGUUAAUCGUAAUUACUGGUCGUAUUGCGCGCGUAGGUGGCUUGAUAAGCCGGUUGUGAAAGCCCCGCGCUCAACCUGCUAACGGCAUCCGGAUCUGUCUGGCUAGAGUGCAGGAGAGGAAGGUAGAAUUCACGGUGUAGCGGUGAAAUGCAUAGCAGAUCGGGAGGAAUACCAGUGGCGAAGGCGGCCUUCUGGACUGACACU